ACCCCUUUUUUUUAUUUUAAUAGGAUUCUAAUCCCACAUGAGGGAUUUCCAAUAGUAUCCAGCACUAACCACACCCCUGGUGGCGAUCAUGAUCAGAGACAACCCCUUGCUGGUAACAGCAGUGGUGAGGGCCUCUUGACAAUCCAAGCAUGGCCACAUCUAGCAAUGGUGGCUAGAUCGACAGAAAAAUAGAAGGAUAAAGGAACAGGAGAAAGCCAUAUCCAUCAUAAAAUCCGGCCACCAACAGCACCAAUUAGACCGUCAAUGGUGGUCUUUGGGGUUAGAAAGGA
rnacentral:lncRNA from 1 species